rnacentral:rRNA from 1 species
AACGAACGCUGGCGGCAUGCCUAACACAUGCAAGUCGAACGAGACCUUCGGGUCUAGUGGCGCACGGGUGCGUAACGCGUGGGAACCUGUCCUUAGGUUCGGAAUAACUCCCCGAAAGGGGUGCUAAUACCGGAUAAUGUCUUCGGACCAAAGAUUUAUCGCCUUUGGAUGGGCCCGCGUUGGAUUAGCUAGUUGGUAGGGUAAAAGCCUACCAAGGCGACGAUCCAUAGCUGGUCUGAGAGGAUGAUCAUCCGCACUGGAACUGAGACACGGCCCAGACUCCUACGGGAGGCAGCAGUGGGGAAUAUUGGACAAGGGGGGAAAGCCUGAUCCAGCAAUGCCGCGUGAGUGAUGAAGGCCUUAGGGUUGUAAAGCUCUUUUACCCGGGAUGAUAAUGACAGUACCGGGAGAAUAAGCUCCGGCUAACUCCGUG